rnacentral:rRNA from 1 species
AUUGAACGCUGGCGGCAGGCCUAACACAUGCAAGUCGAGCGAGCGGCGGACGGGUGAGUAAUGUCUGGGAAACUGCCUGGUGGGGGGGGAUCACUACUGGAAACGGUAGCUAAUACCGCAUACCCUCAGAUGUGCCCAGAUGGGAUUAGCUAGUAGGUGGGGUAAGGGCUCACCUAGGCGACGAUCCCUAGCUGGUCUGAGAGGAUGACCAGCCACACUGGAACUGAGACACGGUCCAGACUCCUACGGGAGGCAGCAGUGGGGAAUAUUGCACAAUGGGCGCAAGCCUGAUGUAGCCAUGCCGCGUGUGUGAAGAAGGCCUUCGGGUUGUAAAGCACUUUCAGCGGGGAGGCGUUACUCGCAGAAGAAGCACCGGCUAACUCCGUGCCAGCAGCCGCGGUAAUAC